rnacentral:lncRNA from 1 species
UAGAGCCAAGUCUAAGGAGCAAGGUGCAGUGAAAAAGCGAAGCCCCACCCAUAGAGCGAGGUUCGGAAGUCCAGUCUCAUUAGCAUCCCUUGUCUUCCGCGGUGUUGCAGACUUAUCCUCAGCUCAAGCGAGUUUGGGGCGUUAUGGAGCCAGCCAAGUCUCCCCUUGCUGGCGUGGGUACUUGUGCAGAAACUUCCCGAGGUGCUUCUGAGACUGCACAGUGAAGACCGCCGCACCGGAGGUCAGCGCUCCGCCGCGGACUCCCGGCUGACUCUGCCACUCUCCCAGGAGGAGGCGCUGUGCACCUCUGGGUGGUUUCCAGGGCUCGGCUGGCGGUAGAGGGAGCCUUGAGGUUGGAAAAGAUCUAGAGCUAUAAUCUCCGAAAGGAAGAUUUGUAAUGCACUGCGAGUUAGAAAUGUUUUUCUCACUGCAGCUUCCUUGUUUCAAAAAGAGAAUUUUUGACAGCACUGCAAAGGCACAAGAAACCAGGCACAGUAUAAAAUAUACAAAUAAAACAGGUACCAAGGAACUUAAAACAUUCAACCCAUAACGUCGUCUAGGUUUUUCUGCUUUAAGAAAAUUGACUCAAUUCUUCCAAGAGAAUAACCCUAUUAAAGGCUAAAAAUGGAAGCUCCCAGUUAUGUAGAAGAUAUUUCCAUCUGGAUCCGUCUUAGAAAGUGAAACAGGAAAUGGCUUAAUCCUAGAGGAGAAGAUAAGACUGGAGAAAUUACUGGGGAAAGGGCGGUUAAGGGCUUUCUGCAAGUGCUUGAGACUAUCCCUGUGGCACCCCCUACCACAGCCCUAGGAACAAUAGCAUAAGAUCCUUGCACCAAUAAAUGUCACAGAAAGGAUGGAGUUUUCUGCCUUUAAAUGUAAUGUGGACUUUGGCAUUGAGCAUCUCAGCAGCCACUGUGAUGAAUUGAAGACCAGAGAAAUUUUCCUAUUUUCUGGGCACUAGGUCAAAUUCCUGGAAAUAUCUGGAGGGUAAGAACCAGUGAAUGAAAAGAGAUGGUUAAUGCUUUGCAGUGAAGGAAAAGUGACUCGCAUCAGUAGAUUACUAUGAAGCUGCAAGAGGGUCUCACUCUGUCACCCGGGCUGAAGUGCAGUGGCA